UUAGUUGGGACGUAGUCCCAACUAGUGCACUUACAAACCCGAAAUUUCCAACCAUACAGGGUAACGCCCACUGCUGUGACGUUUCAUCGCCACUCUAUAUGCUAUAUUGUAUUCUAACAUAUCAAUCUAAGCUGAAUUCAUAGUGAUCACCCGACCAUGACCGACGCAUAACCGCCGCGAGUGAAAAAUAGUGCUCUGAAUUUCUGAAAACUUCGAUUUAUUGCGAACAGAAGAGGAGACAAGAAAUUUAUUUUUUGAAAAUAAUGUGCAAUUGAGCUUGAAUUACGGUAUUAGAAACGUAGCGGAUAUAAUUUGAAAGGUCACAUAAUUCUAUGAAUGGGAUAGUAAAUUAAUUGGGUCAUAGUGCUUGACGGCUUGCAAUAUUUAACUUACUCAUCCGCCUUAUCAUCACAUUUUUUUGUAUUAUAUUCCAGAAAUUUUUGAAAAAGACAUUAUUUAUCGGAUAAAUUUUGUAAUUUAUAAUUGCAAAGUGGAUAUUGAAAUAGAAUUAGCCAGAGAUGUAGAUAAUCUAUUCGUCUCUGAAUUAGCCGAUAAUUAGGUUAAAUGAAUCCGACAACUUCCGGUAUAUUUUUUGACCUACUUCACGAGCAUAAUUAUCAGCCUGUUAAGCUCAUAAGGGAAAUAAAAGAUCAUUUACUUUAAUAUUCACUUGGAAAGGCUGGUACAUGUAGCUAGAAAAAAGUACAGUAUAAGAUUAAACAAAGACUAGAAGAUUAUUACAAACAACAGGUGGACAUAUGUCACUGUCAAGCGAAUGAAGAUAAGCAUCACACUCGGUGGGAAUCUCCAGUUUCCAGAUGUAGUGAUCAUAACUGUAUAGGCACCAUUAACACUUUGGACUAGUUGGAGUAUUUUAGAGGGCUAGUCUGAAUUGAAUCCCCUGUCAAUAGUAAAGGCCAGUCAUGAACAUUGUGUUGAAGGAAAAUGUUAAAACUCGGAUUUCCCGCUUAACCAAUCAUUACUUUACCUUAUAUUCAGUGCGGUAAUGUAGGAAAUGGUUACUUUCUGGAACGGAGCUGUCAAUUAUUUUUAAAUUUUUAGCUUGUUAGUGUUAUCGUCGGACAGUUGUGAAGUAAAGACAUCGCAGUUUGACUGUAUACAAGUUGCGUUAAAGAAAGUAUGUCGAAAUCUUAACAGUUAUUUGUUGAUUUUGUAGAAAUUGACCAGAAUUCACCUUUGUUUACACGCAUCGCUUGGACGUCGAAAACGACAUGCAAUGACAUUUCAGUGAAAUUUGGAAACUUGCUCGUAUUUUGGAGCAUUUUGUAGGAUUUCGAUGAAGUAAAAAGUGUUUAUGAUAGGAUACAUUAUUCCUAGAGACAACCACAAAAAUAAAAUAGUGAUCUGGUGUAUUUUUACCGAACAGUUCUUGUUUGUUUUGCAUGAUAUUUUUCUCUCGUUAGGGACCUUUAUUCUUUAUAUAUAGUAUUAUGAGCGUAUAUGGGUAAAUGUGGUAUAUAGUGCCUGUGGUUUUAUCAUGUAUCUUAGCUUGCCUGGUGUAAUGAUAAGUAAUAAACCUGAGAAUUGAAACUAUGAGAAUAAAUUGUUGUUAUAAGUCCCCUUAUAUUUUCAUUAAGAGGGGACUAAAGGCUGACCCAUUUCUGUAUGUCAAUUAAUGAAAGCUGAAUUUCGCUACAACUUAAAUGGUACAAAAGUAACGUUCAUCAUACUGGUUUCUGAUAUAGAACUAUACAGAGAUUUAGCAUGUUAUUAUAAUUUAUGCUCCUGAAAGGGAGAGAAAAUAGUUGCGGUCUUAACCAUCUGUCGGUAUGGACUCAAGUAAUAUUAUGGAUAAAAUAUCUGUGUUCAUUCCAUACAGACUUGUACUUUUGGGGAAAAAGGUUGCUCAUGGGAGGAAAAUAUGUUUUUAAUGGUGUUUUUGAGAUUUUAGUUGAUAAAGGAAAAAAAACAUAGUCUGAACUUAGGAAGACAUUUGUCCUUCACACUCUUGUCCGAAAUAUGAAUAUAACUAGAUAUGUAUUGAAGGGAUUUUAUGUAAACUUCACAAAGUGAUAGAGACUUUUAAGAGGAAGUGCAAUGUUCAAGAAUCAUAGCUCUACCUUGCUUCAUGUUUUAAUUAUAUCCCUUAAGUUAAAAAUACUUAUUCCAAACUAUCACUGAAUCUACAUCAACUUGAACGACUCGAAUUUUCCAAUGUGUCAAAGAACCAUAACUCCAUUCCUUAGUUUUUAGCUCACCUGUCACAAAGUGACAGGUCGAGCUUUUGUGAUCUCUUUUCGUAUGGCCGUAAACUUUUACUUUAAAUGACAUCUCCUCAUAAACCACUAAGCUAAUUUUAUCCAAACUUCACAAGAAUGUUCCUUUAGCUGUCACCUUUAAAAAUUGUGCAAAGAAUUUAAUUCCAUGCUGAACUCUGGUUGCCAUGGAAACCGAAAGAAAAAAAACUUUAAAUAUCAUCUUUAAAAAAAACCUAAGAGCUAGAGCUUAGAUAUUUGGCUUGAAACAUCCUUUAGUGAGUGUCUACCAAGUUUGUUUAAAUAAAAGCCCUGGGGUCAAAAUUGGCCCCGCCCCAGGGGUCAUUGAUUUUCCCUAUGUGCAUAUAAUAAACUUUAUAAAAUCUUCUUUUAAAGAACCCAAAGAGCUAGAGCUAAGAUAUUAAGCAUGAAACAUCAUCUAAUGAGUGUUUACCAAGUUUGUUCAAAUAAAAGGCCCGGGGUCAAAAUUGGUCCUGCCCCAGGGGGUCAUUAAUUUUUUUUAAAUGCAUAUAGUAAAAACUUUAAAAAAUCUUCUUUUAAGGAAGGAGCUAAGAUAUUUUAGCAUGAAAUAUCUUCUAGUGAGUGUUUACAAAGAUUGUUAAAAUAAAAGCCCUGGGGUCAAAAUUGGUCAUGCCCCAGGGGGUCAUUAAUUUUCUUUAAAUGCAAAUAGUAAAAACUUAAAAAAUCUUCUUUUAAAGAACCCAAAGAGCUAGAGCUAAGAUAUUUAGCAUGAACAUCUUCUAAUGAGUGUCUACCAUGUUUGUUCAAAUAAAAGCCCUUGGGUCAAAAUUGGCCCUGCCCAAGGGGAUCAUUGAUUUUCCCUAUAUGCAUAUAGUUAGAACUUCAAAAAUCUUUUUUAAAGAACCCAAAUAGCUAGAGUUUAUAUUAUAAAUUGAAACAUCUUCUAGUGAGUGUCUACAAAGUUUGUUCAAAUAAAAGCCCUGGGGUCAAAACUGGCCCUGCUCCAGGGUUGUCAUUGUUUUUAACAGUAUGUGUUAGUAAAAACUUAAAAAAUCUUCUUUAAAAAAAC